CCUACGGGAGGCAGCAGUAAGGAAUAUUGGACAAUGCUCGCAAGAGUGAUCCAGCCAUGCCGCGUGCAGGAAGAAUGCCCUAUGGGUAGUAAACUGCUUUUGAACUAGAGAAAACCCCAGUACGUGUACUGGGCUGAUAGUAUAGUUAGAAUAAGCAUCGGCUAACUUCGUGCCAGCAGCCGCGGUAAGACGAAGGAUGCAAGCGUUAUCCGGAUUCAUUGGGUUUAAAGGGAGCGUAGGUGGACUGAUAAGUCAGUGGUGAAAUCUCCGAGCUUAACUCGGAAAUUGCCAUUGAUACUGUUGGUCUUGAGUACAGUUGCUGUGGGCGGAAUAUGACAUGUAGUGGUGAAAUACAUAGAGAUGUCAUAGAACACCGAUUGCGAAGGCAGCUCACAAAGCUGUAACUGACACUGAGGCUCGAAAGUGCGGGGAUCAAACAGGAUUAGAUACCCUGGUAGUCCGCACCGUAAACGAUGAUUACCCGCUGCUAGGGGGCAACCUUUAGUGGCUUAGCGAAAGCGAUAAGUAAUCCCACCGNGGAGGACGCCGGCGACGUAGAAACGUUAAAGUAAGUAGUAGACGCGAGAGAGCGACGGACGGACGACGACGGGAGGGAGGAG
rnacentral:rRNA from 1 species